CCUACAGGGCAAGCGCUUGAUAGGCAGGACACACAUGAGCAUAGCCAUCUCCUUGAUACCAUUGAAAGAUUGUCUAUGCAACAUACAAAUCUUUGAUGGACAUCUGAGUUCUGCAGGAGCUACAAAGCAUUUUAGAAGCUGAUAAAGAAAGUAAUAGAUGGAAGAGACAAGACAGGUGGAACAACAUAGCAUCAACUAACAGCAAACGUAAAGGAACAUUUGGAACAUAUUGGAUCACAGCCUUACUACUAUUUGCUGACACAGCAGCGGGAGCACGAAGUCUUUCUUCUACUGGAAUGUUAGUUUACUGGAGAUACCUUUUGAAUUUUUUUAGCCAAUGUUUAGCUUUAUUUUGCAUCGCUCUAGCAUUAAUUGGGGUAUAGUUAAUUUAUUAUGCAGAGCAACUGAAGCAUGUUUAGUUUCGUGUCUACAUGCCAGUAAUGUUAGUAUAUGCAUUUAAUCUUAUGGUGAUUGAAUAAAUAAAAAAUAAGCUCUACUUAAUUGGAUAUGUAACAUACUAUGUAUUUCAUAGGUCACUCACCAAUAGUUGCCUAGGCAACAAUUAUUGCAUAUUAUGUAGCCUUUGCACAAUCUGGCGAGAAGUUACUACUGCC